GGACCUCUCCCUGACGGGUCAAAAGGUCAUUUGUGUAAGUCACUUGGGAGGUCCUUGGAAGAGGACAUUAGAGCAAUGUGACGGGGUCCACAUCUGCCCACCUCUACAGAGCUGCAGCCUUCGGGCACUAGCUUUGCCUCUGAGUCCUUCUGCUGCUUCUCCUUUCUCCGCUGCUUUGACUGACUGUUCCAACAGACCUAUCAGGAUCUCAGUGCUGAGGGACCAGCAACACACACUCACCCGAGACCUGGAGCUGUGGGCUUAGACACAGGCUUAGAGCCCAGCCACAGAGUAGGGGACGACCUCAAUGGAUUCAUGAGUCAGAGAGAGCGGGGCACGUCCCUUUACUUGUGUCUGUGCACACACUUCAACCCACGUGCUGCCUCCCCUCUCUUCUCUCUCUCGAAAUCCUCCAACAAAUAGUUUCUUCUGUUGCCAGAUCAUUCUUAGGGUGAGCAUCUAUGUGCCACAUCCACCCUAUGAGGGGAAUCCCUAAUUAGCAUUCAUACUUUGUACACAUUUUUAGAAGGGAAAUGGAAAGAAAGGAGACUCCUUUCAAAGAAGCACCUCGAGAUGGACAAAGUAUGAACGCAUGAUCUCUUGCUGACCGCUGUCCUGUUCAGAUCGGUGGAAAUUCCAUGAGCGUUGGGCCCAGGACAGUGGGGUGUCUCUGGCAACAUUUUUGGCCCACUCUUUUUUGGCCCCCUUCUGAACCCUCACGACCAGAAAGGGCUGGGGAGACCAGUCUCAGAAGAAUGGCAAGACCUUCAGGGAGGACUGCCCGGCUCUCACUCACGGCAUCUCAGUGUGUUCAGGCGCAGAACUGGCCACAACUCAUGCCUAGGAGGUUGUCGGGUUAGUUUACAGCCGAUCGUAAAGCACGUGCAGUUAUCAGGAGUCGAUGAACGCCACUUGUUAAGAUGGCAGAAACACAGGAUCAGCCGGGACGCGAGCCGUUACCCCAGCCGUUACCCCGUGUAUGUGAACACGCCAAGGAAGCCACCUUCGCAUGCCCUCGAGGAGGGGAGAGGCUCCAGGACCCAUGGACAGUAUGAGGGCCACUGUACCAAAGCACCGCAGACUGGGAGGCUUCACCCACAGACAUCGCCUCAC
rnacentral:lncRNA from 1 species